GGGGAUGAUCGGUUUCGACAGCGGCUGUUGAAACAGGGGAAGCGUGUCGAGGAAGCGGCAAUGAUCUCGUUAACCAUAUGUCGCAACCAAUAAUCGCCAAUUCCAAGAGCGAUUCCCGCGCCUUCGCCCUCGCUGCCUAAUAAGCAGUGAGUGAAGGCCCUUACGGGUGUCAGACCGGGGAUGUUCCCGACCCGGACCCUGGCAUAAUCUAGGGAACUAAACCAUCCGGCCCGGUCACGGGGUCGGAUGGGAAAUCAAACAGUGACUGGGCCCGUCGGCGACUUGUUCGCGUGAUCGCCGGGGCCGAGAAAAUCACAGCGAACUGCACACGGAGAAGCCCUGAUUCUGCACCGUUGGACGCGGGUUCGAUUCCCGCCAUCUCCACGA
rnacentral:tmRNA from 1 species